CGAACGGAACUGUUUUGAAAGAUUUCUUCGGAAUGAAUUUGAUUUAGUUUAGUGGCGGACGGGUGAGUAACGCGUGAGUAACCUGCCUUCAAGAGGGGGAUAACAUUCUGAAAAGAAUGCUAAUACCGCAUGAUAUAUCGGAACCACAUGGUUUUGAUAUCAAAGAUUUUAUCGCUUGAAGAUGGACUCGCGUCCGAUUAGUUAGUUGGUGAGGUAACGGCUCACCAAGACCGCGAUCGGUAGCCGGACUGAGAGGUUGAACGGCCACAUUGGGACUGAGACACGGCCCAGACUCCUACGGGAGGCAGCAGUGGGGGAUAUUGCGCAAUGGGGGCAACCCUGACGCAGCAACGCCGCGUGAAGGAUGAAGGUUUUCGGAUUGUAAACUUCUUUUAUUAAGGACGAAAAACGACGGUACUUAAUGAAUAAGCUCCGGCUAACUACGUGCCAGCAGCCGCGGUAAUACGUAGGGAGCAAGCGUUGUCCGGAUUUACUGGGUGUAAAGGGUGCGUAGGCGGCUUUGCAAGUCAGAUGUGAAAUCUAUGGGCUCAACCCAUAAACUGCAUUUGAAACUGUAGAGCUUGAGUGAAGUAGAGGCAGGCGGAAUUCCCCGUGUAGCGGUGAAAUGCGUAGAGAUGGGGAGGAACACCAGUGGCGAAGGCGGCCU
rnacentral:rRNA from 1 species